rnacentral:lncRNA from 1 species
UUCCUUCUUUCUCUCAUUCACAUCUGCUUUGGAGCUCUCUCUCAAGCAUUUGGGACUUUGUCUUCUUGUUGAAAAGAUAGCAAGGACCCUUAGUGAACUUCUUUCAUUCUUUUUAUUGCCUUUUUCCUUAUGUAGUGCAGAAAGUCAAACGUUUGGCCAACAGCUUGACUUUCGGUUUUGACCAUCGAUUGGUCAAGUCAAAGUUCAAUUGAACUUUGAAACGUGAUUGUAAUCACGAUAGUUAUAAUCCUUCGUGAUUAUAACCGCUGAUUACCACGUUAGCUAGUUGUAGUGUCGAGUCAAAGUUUCGGUCAAAAUGCGUUUUAGCAUGCAUUUUGCCUCGGAACUACUUUAGGGUAUCAAAACACUUUGUUUUGAUACCAAAUCAGUAGGUUGGACAUGUUUUGACAUGUCUAACUCGACACUAUUAGUUUGUGCUUGUUUAGGGUCGUAAGGUAAGCGGUCUAAACAACCGCUUAUACUUCCGAACCCGACCCGUUUGGUCGAUCUUUAGGAUCCGACCAAGCUUAGUUAGUGAUCAUAGUUGCAUAGGGAAUAACCACUGAGGUUAUACCUUAUGAUCACAUAGGAUUGGUUAGUCAUUUGCUAGUUAGCUUGUAUGCCCAUAGGAAAUGACCAAAAUACCCUUUUGAAGCUAAAAUCCGUAUUUUUAUUAUGUGAACAUAUUUUUGACUUGUAAUCUGACUUAGUAACAUGUUUAGGGAUUAUUGGGCAUGUAAGACUUGGCAUAGCAUAUAGUUAACCGUCCGAUCAUAGUUUUACGCUAAUGACGCCUUAUAGUAACUUAUGUUACCAUAAUGUGUCAAAACGGGUCAAAAGCACUUAGGUAGGCUUUCCAAUCAGAAUGUUGGGACUAUUAAAUCAUACCAUAUGAGUUCAAUUACUCAUUUGAUUUAUAGAACCUCAUUCUAUCCUAUCUCCCGAUUUAGGAGCCGAUUUAUUAACAUAGUUACCUAUACUAGGUGCCGGUUGAUUCCGUGAUACUUGGAAAUUGGUCUUAUUCUCAAGACUAAUUAGCAACCCAAGUGAGUACAUAGUUCCCCUCUUUUACCGUUUUCAAAUAUUUUGGGGUGAUACACAUGUACAUACAUGUUACUUUUGUGCAUUUCAUGUUUUUAUGACAUAAACAUGUUAGUUUCACCUAGUACACUUAUAGUACAUGUUUUCCAUUGUGUUUUGCUAUGUAUGUUAAGCAUGCUAGCACAUUGAUUUGUUACACCUUUGUUGCAUAUGUUUACUUAGCAUAUGGAACACAUUGUUUUACAUGAUAUUUCUGCUAUGCAUGUUUACUUAGCAUUCCUAGUACAUGGUUUUCACAUGCUACAUUGGGUAUGACAUUUGGUAUGUUCAAUCGGGACAAUAAUACAUUCAUUAACAUUGAUCACGCCGCUCGGACUUAUGUAAUGGUACCAUAGGAAUUGACAACUCCCGUUUCCGACUUCCUGGGUUUGUUUGGAAGUUGGGGAUGACAGAAUCCGACUACAUAAAUUUAAAUGAACCUUUAAUUCGUUUAAGGGUUUGUCGCCACAGUCUCAAGGCUUGAAUGCAUGUGAUUAAAAUUACUGCAUAAAUGUUUGUAAUCAUAAAGCAUUGUUUUUAUGCAAAGCAUAACAUUUGAUUUAAACUUAGGUUUAUUCAAAAACAUGUUUUGUACAUUUUCUAUGGGGUUGAGUAACUUCUAGUUAUUCACCAUACAUGACAUUUAGUUUCCACAUUAGACAUCAUUACAUAGUUAAGUAGAUGAUUUCCUACUUGCUAUGCAUUUCAUUUGGUUAUACAUGAAACAUUUCACACAUGACAUUGUACAUGGUUUACACAUAUACAUUU